rnacentral:tRNA from 1 species
UAGCUCAGUUGGUAGAGUGUUUGCCUCACAUGCAUAAGGCCCUGGGUUCAAUCCCCAG